UUUGGUACUGUGAUAGCACUUAGUCUGUGUGUUUGAUGUGAUUUUUGUAACCCUAAACUGAGAAGAAGUUCCAAAGAAAUCCGACUCUUAUGGCAUCCUCAAGUCGUGCAUUUCAAGGCAACAAGGGAAAGGAAGUCAUUGCUGCAAGAACCUCUGAUCUUGCUAGCUGGAUCACUGAUGAAGAAACGAGGACAAGGUUUCUAAACGGUCUUGUUAAGAGUAUUGCUCCUCCC
rnacentral:lncRNA from 1 species